rnacentral:rRNA from 1 species
UUUCCGUUUGAUCCCGGCGGAGGCUACUGCUAUUGGGGUUCGAUUAAGCCAUGCAAGUUGAACGAUUCUUCGGAAUCGUGGCGAACGGCUCAGUAACACGUGGAUAACCUACCCUUAGGACCGGUAUAACCCUGGGAAACUGGGGACAAUCCCGGAUAGGUGAUUUUUUCUGUAAUGAUUUUUCAUUUAAAUGCUCCGGCGCCUGAGGAUGGGUCUGCGGCAGAUUAGGUAGUUGGUAGGGUAAUGGCCUACCAAGCCGGUGAUCUGUACGGGUUGUGAGAGCAAGAGCCCGGAGAUGGAACCUGAGACAAGGUUCCAGGCCCUACGGGGCGCAGCAGGCGCGAAACCUCCGCAAUGCGAGAAAUCGCGACGGGGGGACCCCAAGUGCCCUCUUAACGGGGUGGCUUUUCUUGAGUGUAAAAAGCUUUUGGAAUAAGGGCUGGGCAAGACCGGUGCCAGCCGCCGCGGUAACACCGGCAGCUCUAGUGGUAGCCAUUUUUAUUGGGCCUAAAGCGUUCGUAGCCGGUUUGAUAAGUCUCUGGUGAAAUCCUGUAGCUUAACUGUGGGAAUUGCUGGAGAUACUAUUAGACUUGAGGUCGGGAGAGGUUAGCGGUACUCCCAGGGUAGGGGUGAAAUCCUGUAAUCCUGGGAGGACCACCUGUGGCGAAGGCGGCUAACUGGAACGAACCUGACGGUGAGGGACGAAAGCCAGGGGCGCGAACCGGAUUAGAUACCCGGGUAGUCCUGGCCGUAAACG